GACGAGGGAUCCUAGCGUUGUUCGGAAUCAUUGGGCGUAAAGCGGGUGCAGGUGGCUUUGUAAGUCAGAUGUGAAAGCCUGAGGCUUAACCUCAGAAGUGCAUUUGAUACUGCGAAGCUUGAGUGCUGGAGAGGCUACUAGAAUUCCAGGUGUAGUGGUGAAAUACGUAGAUAUCUGGAGGAAUACCGGAGGCGAAGGCGGGUAGCUAGCCAGACACUGACACUCAGACCCGAAAGCGUGGGGAUCAAACAGG
rnacentral:rRNA from 1 species